rnacentral:rRNA from 1 species
UCCAGACUCCUACGGGAGGCAGCAGUGAGGAAUAUUGGUCAAUGGCCGCAGGGCUGAACCAGCCAAGUCGCGUGAGGGAUGACGGUCCUAUGGAUUGUAAACCUCUUUUGUCAGGGAGCAAAGGGCGCCACGUGUGGCGCUUUGCGAGUACCUGAAGAAAAAGCAUCGGCUAACUCCGUGCCAGCAGCCGCGGUAAUACGGAGGAUGCGAGCGUUAUCCGGAUUCAUUGGGUUUAAAGGGUGCGCAGGCGGGCUUGAAAGCGGGGGGGGAGGUCGGGGGGCUCACCCCCGCGGAGCCGUGGGAACUGGGGGCCUUGAGUGCGGCGGAGGCAUGCGGAAUGCGCGGGGUAGCGGGGAAAUGCAUAGAUAUCGCGCAGAACCCCGAUUGCGAAGGCAGCGUGCCGUGCCGCCACUGACGCUGAGGCACGAAAGCGCGGGGAGCAAACAGGAUUAGAUACCCCUGUAC